GGGGCAGAGAGGUUGUCAGAGAGGACUUGCACCUUCUCCUUUGAAAGCUGCUACUGGAGUCAUUUAGCCCUCCUCCAAGGGGGAGACAGAUGGAGCGUAGGAAAAAGUGUCCCUCAUGACCCUUCUGCAGCGGGCUUGCAUUCUGCACGCUUUAUGCCACAAAAGGUCCUGUCCUCCUGCUGCUUGGCCCAUUGCUGGAAAGCCCAGGAGCCAGAGCUGGGUGUCCUGUGGGAAUUCUGCUGUUCUGAGAGGAAAUGCACAUUUACUGUCUUUAGCAGCUUCUUUAAUAAGAUUUGCCAGAAGGGAGGAAUUGAUGCAGGGGGUGUAGCUUGGCCUUGUGCAUGGCAGAGCUGUGCAGGCCAUCCGUGGUGUUCUUGCUGUGGAAGUGCAUGUGCUGUGGAAGUGCAUUUUUUGCUCAGUUCCUGUCCCACCCAAAUGAAUUCUGCUUUUCCAUCGUGCUCACAAAGAGCAGAGGCUCCGAAGGGGAUGUGGAGGGCAGUCCCUUGGAUUUCUGGCUGUGUCAGUGGGAUGGCAGGGCAGGGAACUCAGAGCUGCCAGGUUCUCUUGUGCACAUCCUGGGACACAGCCUCUCAGUCUGGGGCGGCUGAUCCCUCCCGAGCCAGAGCAGGAUAAUUCAUCCCCUCAUGCAGCAGCUUAGGGGGAAGCUGGGAGGGAGAUUUUUGUGUUGACAAAGCACUAAUUUUAAUAAUGACAAAUGGCUGCUCUGGAAUUCAGCGCUAUUCAUAUUCAUGACCCUUCUGCUGCUGAAGCAAAAUCAUUUAUAUGCCUGAAAAUCGCGCUUUUUUUAACUUUUGCUCUCUUUCCACUCUGCACAUCUGUUUAUACUUUAAUGCUCUUGACAGGAUAAUCAAAUAUUUUCCAAAUAUAAUGUCUCUAAAGAAAGCAACAAAGUCAGUGUUUGGACAGAAACAUUUUUGUCUUUGCUUGAAGGGGAAGCAAAACCAUUGAAUGGCAUUUUAUUUCCUGUGCCCAUGUUCAUUACUGUGUCUGCUCUCCACUCCAAGUGCUCCCAGGAUGGGAGUGGAAGCUGCUGUCCAUCAGUGGUGGGAAGUGGCCUUGGGACAGCUGUACAGAUGCUGUAGAGCCUCUAUGUUGUUUUAAAAUUCCCUAUUGGAAGAGCAAAAUUGGUUUGUGUUUACCUGGGAAUGCUUUCUGCUUUUCCAUUGUUUAGUUGGCAGGACUAAAUGAAUUCCUUAGUAUUGACAGAACAAUCCUGUGCCUUGUUCCUUUCCUUCUGAGGUUGCUAGGUUUAGUAUUUUUUUUUCUGUUAUCUCUCCAAGUUUUCCUUCUAAAGUAAAGGCUAAAUUAUGAUCACAUUCCACCACAGCCACUGCUCCCCAGGUCAUACACGUUUGUGACACCACAAGGUGCGUGGGGUCCCCAAUGAAGAAAACUGCUUGGGAGGUUCUAACCCAUUAUAUAUAUAUUAGUUAAAGAUCACUUUUUCUUUUUUUCAAAGCCUGCAAGUAGAAAAAAUUGGAUUUUUUUUUUUUUCCUCUCAGCACAUUCGUUGAGAGGCUGUGAAAAAAACCCUGCUGCUUCUGAUGAAUUUGUGCAAUUGGUGUGUAGCUGCGUGCGGGUGGAAGAUCUGAAUGGAUGUUUUAUGGCUGCUCAUUUGUCACACUUAUGUAAGUCAUCAGCAGCACAGCUAAUUGUGGCCAGAGCUGAAUGAAUUCUGCCCGAAUGCGCUGCUGCCACUCACAUCUGUGGGCCCCAGGAAGCCUAUGCAGAAGUCUACAGCAAUUCAAUUCUCUUGUUAUUUCCGUUUUCUAGUGAAAUUCAUGAUACAGGAAUUUGUUUUCUUGCCAUCUGUUUUUUCUCACUGAAAAGACUUCCUUAGACUAUAAACUCUCUCUUGAAAAAAGAAAUAAAUCUACUCAGUUCAGACUUGAGAACAAACCCAAGUUCAAAUUAAGGAAAUAAAGCAGAUUGCAGUGGUUUGGGGUCCUGUUGGUUUAGGCCAAGCUGAACACGAAGUAGAGCUGUGGAGGACAAGGGACAUGCAGGCAAAAAGAAGCCCAAAUGAUGGUGAGUUUGGAUAAGUGCCCAUAAAUUACAGUUUCUCUGCCAUUUCUCCUUAGAGAUGUGGUAAAUGAAGAUGUGCUUCAGCCCAUCAUUCCAAGCACAGUUAGAAUUAGGUCUUUUAUCCUUGACAUGACACUCUGUCAUCUCCAGGUAGAGGAAGGAAGCACAGUCCUCGCAUUCCCUAUGGAACUGGGGAUGCCCAGGACCCUGCACAGCACACCAAGUUACAGAACAAGUGUGAAUCAAUCUCUUUAUUCUGAGCACUCCUAUAGACACUAAGAAAGAGUUUUCACCAGGAUAUUUUGUUCUGAACUGCAAAGAAAUGCCUGGAAAGUUGCUGUAGGUUGGGGAUGCAGGAAGUUUAUAAUUUGUUUUUAUCACAGUUCUACUGUCAUGCUGCUAUCUUAGCAGUUUUCUGACUGCUCUGGGUUAUAGAGUGUUCAUAAAUGAUGAUUAAUUAAUCCAGUUUGGUGGUCUACUCUGAGCAAACAAACCUCAGAGUUAAUUUAAUUCUCCACUCUUGGUUUCAGAGAAAAAAAAAGGCAGCAUUUUCAGUUCACUAGAGGAUAUAAUAUUCUCAAAUCAGCCACUUUCCAAUUAAUUUUGAAUGGCCAACACAGCCAAGAAAUUUAGUUCUUGGUCAUUUACUUCUAUUAAGGAUUCAUUUUCAAUAAUCAGAGUUCUGAGUCAGCUGGUUUUCACCUGGAAGGCUUGCUCCUGACACCUGAAUAAAUUAUUGCAUGGUGUGUGCAUGGAGGUAUCAGGUUCUCUCCCUCUUUCCCCAGUACCCCCUUGCUGACAGGCAGUCAUUUACUGCUAUUUCUGUCAUCACCCAACUUGUUGGGAAGGGAUGCUGUACAAUAUCAAAAUGUGUGGAGUGGAGCAGCAGCUCUCAUAAAGCAGGAAAAUGUCAGAAAGAAGGAAAGGAGAUGUGCUAUCCUUGAAAUGUUUUCCUCAUGCUCUGGGUUUCAAGCUAAUUAGUUUCUAAAUAUGCUGCUGAAGGCUUGAGUUUCCAUGGGAUAAUAUUUCCCUGUAGUAGCUCUGUGCAGCCAUGUGGGAUGAGGGGGAAAAAUAAUGAUUUACCAAGAGGAGAAAAAUAUUCAGGAACAUGAGGAAGGUCAGUGUUGAUUUGUGUGUUUAUGACCAUUAAGAUAAAUACUGGUGUAACUUGUUAAUAAAACUCCUUUUUAAUUUGGUGGAAUGAACCUUUCCCUCUCGUCGGGUUGGAGAGGGACAUGUCUGUCCCUGUGGGCUGCACCCUGAUAACUGCAGCUCCACAAAUAUUUACAUUUUUUAUUGGGAGGUUGCCUGCCUGCUUUUUCCUGUCCCCAGAAUGUGCUGAGAUGCUCAGCCCACAGGGCCCUCAGCAGAACUGCGCUGUGAAUUACUUUUGGGUUGCAGCACAUUUCCUACAAUGCCCAAGGUUAUUUUUUAUUCUUUGUAUAACUAUGCUCAGAGAAACAAAGCAAAUAAAAAGAAAAACAUUACCAACACUCAAGAUGUUCCAUAAUAACAUUCCCAAAUCUCUUGUGGAAGGUAUAAAUUAACCCCUCUUUGCAUUUACUUUUAAUAUGCCAAAGCAAUAAUGUGUGAUUCUCCUCUGUCUCUGUGAUGAGAGAGAGCAGGGAACAAGAACAAAAUCUGCCAAGUGUGGCACAUGCGGGACGUGGAGAAUGCAGAUCUAACAGGCUGGAAAUGAGCAAGAGCCCUUUAGUCACGGGGAGAGUUUAAAAAUGGAAAUGCCUUUAAGUGGCCCUCAGAAUUAAAAGCGUCCCAUGCCACUUCCCAGGGAGUUGGAAUGAUAAUGUGCAUUAUUAUGGGCUGCCUGUAGCUUCU